UACAGAGGUCCCAAGCGUUGUUCGGAUUCACUGGGCGUUAAAGGGUGCGUAGGUGGUCGGGUAAGUCUGAUGUGAAAUCUCCGAGCUCAACUCGGAAAUGGCAUUGGAUACUAUUCGGCUGGAGGGUUGGAGGGGGACUGGAAUUCUCGGUGUAGCAGUGAAAUGCGUAGAUAUCGAGAGGAACACCAGUGGCGAAGGCGAGUCCCUGGACGAACUCCUGAGCACUGAGGCACGAAAGCCUAGGGGGAGCAAACAGG
rnacentral:rRNA from 1 species